CCUACGGGAGGCAGCAGUGAGGAAUAUUGGUCAAUGGACGAGAGUCUGAACCAGCCAAGUAGCGUGAAGGAUGACUGCCCUAUGGGUUGUAAACUUCUUUUAUAAAGGAAUAAAACGAGGCACGUGUGCCUUUUUGCAUGUACUUUAUGAAUAAGGAUCGGCUAACUCCGUGCCAGCAGCCGCGGUAAUACGGAGGAUCCGAGCAUUAUCCGGAUUUAUUGGGUUUAAAGGGAGCGUAGAUGGGUUGUUAAGUCAGUUGGGAAAGUUUGCGGCUCAACCGUAAAAUUGCAAUUGAUACUGGCAGUCUUGAGUACAAGUGAGGUAAGCGGAAUGCGUGGUGUAGCGGUGAAAUGCUUAGAUAUCACGAAGAACCCCGAUUGCGAAGGCAGCUUACUAAACUGUGACUGACAUUGAUGCUCGAAAGUGUGGGUAUCAAACAGGAUUAGAUACCCGUGUAGUC
rnacentral:rRNA from 1 species